rnacentral:rRNA from 1 species
UACGUAGGGUGCGAGCGUUAAUCGGAAUUACUGGGCGUAAAGCGUGCGUAGGCGGUUCUCCAAGUCCGUUGUGAAAGCCCGGGCUCAACCUGGGAAUGGCAGUGGAAACUAGGGGACUGGAAUCUGGCAGAGGGGGGUGGAAUGCCGCGUGUAGCAGUGAAAUGCGGAGAGAUGCGGCGGAACACCGAUGGCGAAGGCAGCCCCCUGGGCUGAGAUUGACGCUCAGGCACGAAAGCGUGGGGAGCAAACAGG